rnacentral:rRNA from 1 species
UACGUAGGGGGCAAGCGUUGUCCGGAUUUAUUGGGCGUAAAGAGCGUGUAGGCGGCCAUGCAGGUCCGUUGUGAAAACUCGAGGCUCAACCUCGAGACGCCGGUGGAAACCGUGUGGCUAGAGUCCGGAAGAGGAGAGUGGAAUUCCUGGUGUAGCGGUGAAAUGCGCAGAUAUCAGGAAGAACACCCGUGGCGAAGGCGGCUCUCUGGGAUGUGACUGACGCUGAGACGCGAAAGCGUGGGGAGCAAACAGG